rnacentral:rRNA from 1 species
GGGCCAGCGACUUAAUUUGACGAGCAAGCUUAAGCCGAUAGGCGUAGGCGCAGCGAAAGCGAGUCUGAAUAGGGCGAUCAAGUUCGUCGGAUUAGACCCGAAACCUAGUGAUCUAGCCAUGGUCAGGUUGAAGGUGGGGUAACACCUACUGGAGGACCGAACCGGUGCCUGUUGAAAAAGCCUCGGAUGAACUGUGGCUAGGGGUGAAAGGCCAACCAAACUGGGAAAUAGCUGGUUUUCCGCGAAAGAUAUUUAGGUAUCGCCUCGAGCGAAUGCUUUGGGGGGUAGAGCACUGGAUGGGCUAGGGGGACUUACCGUCUUACCAAACCUAACCAAACUCCGAAUACCCAAAAGCACUACUCGGGAGUCACACGGUGGGUGCUAACGUCCAUCGUGGAGAGGGAAACAACCCUGACCAACAGCUAAGGCCCCCAAUUCGUGGCUAAGUGUGAAAGGAUGUGGGAAUCCCAUAACAACCAGGAGGUUGGCUUAGAAGCAGCCAUCCUUUAAAGAAAGCGUAACAGCUCACUGGUCUAAACAAGGAUUCCUGCGCCGAAAAUGUAACGGGGCUCAAGCCACGAGCCGAAGCUUUGGGUGUGCACGCAAGUGCACGCGGUAGCGGAACGUUCUGUAAGCCUGUGAAGGGAGACCCGUGAGGGCUCCUGGAGGUAUCAGAAGUGCGAAUGCUGGCACGAGUAACGACAAACAGAGUGAAAGACUCUGUCGCCGAAAGUCCAAGGGUUCCUGCGUAAAGUUAAUCUGCGCAGGGUUAGCCGGUCCCUAAGGCGAGGCCGAAAGGCGUAGUCGAUGGGAAUGCAGUCAAUAUUCUGCAGCCAGUGGGUAGUGACGAAUUCCGUAUGUUGUCCGAGGUUAUUGGAUUCUGAGGGCAGCGAAGGAGUUCCAGGAAAUAGCUCCCACAUAGACCGUACCCUAAACCGACACAGGUGGACUGGUAGAGAAUACCAAGGCGCUUGAGCGAACUAUGUUGAAGGAACUCGGCAAUUUACCUCCGUAACUUCGGGAUAAGGAGGACCUCUUGGUGGGCAACCAUCAAGGGGUGGCACAGACCAGGGGGUGGCGACUGUUUAACAAAAACACAGGGCUCUGCGAACUCGGAAGAGGACGUAUAGGGUCUGACGCCUGCCCGGUGCCGGAAGGUUAAGAGGAGGGGUGCAAGCCUUGAAUCGAAGCCCCGGUAAACGGCGGCCGUAACUAUAACGGUCCUAAGGUAGCGAAAUUCCUUGUCGGGUAAGUUCCGACCUGCACGAAUGGCGUAACGACUUCCCCGCUGUCUCCAACAUAGGCUCAGUGAAACUGAAUUCCCCGUGAAGAUGCGGGGUUCCUGCGGUCAGACGAA